rnacentral:rRNA from 1 species
CGACCCCUAAGGCGAGGCCGAAAGGCGUAGUCGAUGGGAAACAGGUUAAUAUUCCUGUACUUGGUGUUACUGCGAAGGGGGGACGGAGAAGGCUAUGUUGGCCGGGCGACGGUUGUCCCGGUUUAAGCGUGUAGGCUGGUUUUCCAGGCAAAUCCGGAAAAUCAAGGCUGAGGCGUGAUGACGAGGCACUACGGUGCUGAAGCAACAAAUGCCCUGCUUCCAGGAAAAGCCUCUAAGCAUCAGGUAACAUCAAAUCGUACCCCAAACCGACACAGGUGGUCAGGUAGAGAAUACCAAGGCGCUUGAGAGAACUCGGGUGAAGGAACUAGGCAAAAUGGUGCCGUAACUUCGGGAGAAGGCACGCUGAUAUGUAGGUGAAGUCCCUUGCGGAUGGAGCUGAAAUCAGUCGAAGAUACCAGCUGGCUGCAACUGUUUAUUAAAAACACAGCACUGUGCAAACACGAAAGUGGACGUAUACGGUGUGACGCCUGCCCGGUGCCGGAAGGUUAAUUGAUGGGGUCAGCGCAAGCGAAGCUCUUGAUCGAAGCCCCGGUAAACGGCGGCCGUAACUAUAACGGUCCUAAGGUAGCGAAAUUCCUUGUCGGGUAAGUUCCGACCUGCACGAAUGGCGUAAUGAUGGCCAGGCUGUCUCCACCCGAGACUCAGUGAAAUUGAACUCGCUGUGAAGAUGCAGUGUACCCGCGGCAAGACGGAAAGACCCCGUGAACCUUUACUAUAGCUUGACACUGAACAUUGAGCCUUGAUGUGUAGGAUAGGUGGGAGGCUUUGAAGUGUGGACGCCAGUCUGCAUGGAGCCGGCCUUGAAAUACCACCCUUUAAUGUUUGAUGUUCUAACGUGGACCCGUGAUCCGGGUUGCGGACAGUGUCUGGUGGGUAGUUUGACUGGGGCGGUCUCCUCCUAAAGAGUAACGGAGGAGCACGAAGGUUGGCUAAUCCUGGUCGGACAUCAGGAGGUUAGUGCAAUGGCAUAAGCCAGCUUGACUGCGAGCGUGACGGCGCGAGCAGGUGCGAAAGCAGGUCAUAGUGAUCCGGUGGUUCUGAAUGGAAGGGCCAUCGCUCAACGGAUAAAAGGUACUCCGGGGAUAACAGGCUGAUACCGCCCAAGAGUUCAUAUCGACGGCGGUGUUUGGCACCUCGAUGUCGGCUCAUCACAUCCUGGGGCUGAAGUAGGUCCCAAGGGUAUGGCUGUUCGCCAUUUAAAGUGGUACGCGAGCUGGGUUUAGAACGUCGUGAGACAGUUCGGUCCCUAUCUGCCGUGGGCGCUGGAGAACUGAGGGGGGCUGCUCCUAGUACGAGAGGACCGGAGUGGACGCAUCACUGGUGUUCGGGUUGUCAUGCCAAUGGCACUGCCCGGUAGCUAAAUGCGGAAGAGAUAAGUGCUGAAAGCAUCUAAGCACGAAACUUGCCCCGAGAUGAGUUCUCCCUGACCCUUUAAGGGUCCUGAAGGAACGUUGAAGACGACGACGUUGAUAGGCCGGGUGUGUAAGCGCAGCGAUGCGUUGAGCUAACCGGUACUAAUGAACCGUGAG